rnacentral:rRNA from 1 species
GAUGAACGCUAGCUACAGGCUUAACACAUGCAAGUCGAGGGGCAUCACAGUGUAGCAAUACACGGGUGGCGACCGGCGCACGGGUGCGUAACACGUAUCCAAUCUGCCCGUUACUCGGGGAUAGCCUUCUGAAAGGAAGAUUAAUACCCGAUGGCAUGUAUUUCCGGCAUCGGAGAUACAUUAAAGAUUAAUCGGUAACGGAUGAGGAUGCGUACGAUUAGCUGGUUGGCGGGGUAACGGCCCACCAAGGCGACGAUCGUUAGGGGUUCUGAGAGGAAGGGCCCCCACACUGGAACUGAGACACGGUCCAGACGCCUACGGGAGGCAGCAGUGAGGAAUAUUGGUCAAUGGGCGCGAGCCUGAACCAGCCAAGUAGCGUGAAGGAUGACUGCCCUACGGGUUGUAAACUUCUUUUGUUUGGGAAUAAAUGAUACUACGUGUAGUAUUUUGCAUGUACCUUACGAAUAAGCAUCGGCUAAUUCCGUGCCAGCAGCCGCCGUAAGAC